rnacentral:lncRNA from 1 species
UAACUAUUCUCAACUCUCCCGCAUCUCAACAUUUACCAAGUUUUAUUCUCGUGAAGGCCUUCACUACUUUCAUCACUUUCUCACACAUAAAAUUGUCAUUCAUCCCCAGACCACACAACUAUAGGGGCAGAAUAUAAACAAACAGAGACAUAAAUUAUACGGCUUCUAAUUGGAAAUGAUUACAGUUAAAACACAGCUGCAUUAUACAUUAAAUUUAAC